GGACUACCAGGGUAUCUAAUCCUGUUUGCUCCCCACGCUUUCGUGCCUGAGCGUCAGUGUUGGCCCAGGGGGCUGCCUUCGCCAUCGGUGUUCCUCCACAUCUCUACGCAUUUCACUGCUACACGUGGAAUUCCACCCCCCUCUGCCACACUCCAGCCCGCCAGUUUCCAAUGCCAUUCCCAAGUUGAGCUCGGGGCUUUCACAUCGGACAUAACGAACCGCCUGCGCACGCUUUACGCCCAGUAAUUCCGAUUAACGCUCGCACCCUACGUAUUACCGCGGCUGCUGGCAC
rnacentral:rRNA from 2 species